CAUCACUUUGGGGACGGGAUAGAACAGUGGACCUUUGGGUCCCGAGCCGAACAUCUUAACCACUAGACAAAAGGAAU
rnacentral:tRNA from 13 species